GGGUAGAGCAGUCAGGUAGCUCACUAGGCUCAUGACCUUGAUGUCGUAGGUUCAAAUCCUACCUCC
rnacentral:tRNA from 1 species